rnacentral:rRNA from 1 species
GACGAACGCUGGCGGCGCGCCUAACACAUGCAAGUCGAACGAGCGAGAGAGAGCUUGCUUUCUCGAGCGAGUGGCGAACGGGUGAGUAACGCGUGAGGAACCUGCCUCAAAGAGGGGGACAACAGUUGGAAACGACUGCUAAUACCGCAUAAGCUCACGGCUCGGCAUCGAGCAGGGGGAAAAGGAGCAAUCCGCUUUGAGAUGGCCUCGCGUCCGAUUAGCUUGUUGGUGAGGUAACGGCCCACCAAGGCGACGAUCGGUAGCCGGACUGAGAGGUUGAACGGACACACUGGGGCUAGGACGCAGCCCAGAAUCCUACGGGAGGCAGCAGUGGGGAAUAUUGCACAAUGGGGGAAACCCUGAUGCAGCGACGCCGCGUGAAGGAAGAAGGUCGUCGGAUUGUAAACUCCUGUUGUUGGGGAAGAUAAUGACGGUACCCAACAAGGAAGUGACGGCUAACUACGUG